UUGCAAUAGAAGUUCCAAUUCAAGUAUUAAUAUUAUUUCAUUUUACCUUGUUCUUUCCAUGGACAGACAAGAUUACUAAUGGCGGAAAAUUCUUCAAAACAUUUGGGAUUUGAAUAUUUUAAUUCCUUUAUACAGUUGAGGAGAAGGUGAUUUCCUUCUGCAAGAGCAUAAGUAUGUCUAGCUCGGGGCAGUGAAGGGGACGUUAUAAUAGAACAUAUUCUAAAGAAGAGAUGGUUAACAUGGCGGUCCUAGCUGACUUUCAGGAUGAGUUCUUCGAUAUGCAUUUCCCUAUUAUUUAUGACUUCAAGGGGGUGUCAAUCCAUUUUACAGUGUUUGAGUUAGGUACUUAACACCAUUAAUGUUUCCCCUCUAAAAUGUAUUUUUCCCUUUUUUAUCAUUUGCGAACUGUUGAAGUACUUCCACUUCUAUAUCAUCAACUUCCUUCUUUCUUGCGAGCUCUUUUGCAUUGAUUUCCAAUUACUAUUCAUCUGCAAUAUUUCAUUUGGGGGUACCUGUAACAUGCAGAUGAUCAACUAUACUUCUUUAAGAUAAGUUUUCUUCAUAAUGGAGAUUCCCCUUCAGAAGAUGUUGGAUGUCAUCUCUACUUUCGUUGGUGAGGGUGGUUUGGACCAUGAUUUUACCAAGGUGGAACCUUUGUCUGAUUGAGGAGUGCUUAUUCUUGAAAAAGAUAAGAUGGUAUGUGGCAAGUAUGACGGGUGUGGCAUUCCUUUUCACGAGUAUUUAUUUUCUUAGAUAGGCCUUUGUCUCCCUUUUAAUGAGUUCGAGAUCGGUAUUCUUAACCACCUUUUAAUUUCCCUUUCACAAUUGCAUCCAAUGAGUCGGGCAUGCAUAAAAGUAUUUCAAUAUUGUGAAUAUAAGAAUAGUGUGUCGACCUUGAUGCUCUUGUGUCCUCUUUUUAACCUCAUCCUAGCUCGGGUGUUGAGCUAAAGGAUGGAUCUUGUUAUCUCUUCGAUAAUGCACUAGGAUGUUUGAUAUUUACUAGGAUAAUAUGAAUCACUUCAAGAAUCAAUUAUUUCUUGCCACUCCCAUCAACAAAGAAGCUCACACUAUAAUAUGAUAUAUAGAUCCCAAGUCGCCUUACCAAAGCUCGAACAUAAUUUCCAAGUUCUUGUCAAACUUUGAGUCUUAUAUUUACAGGAAGGACGAUUCAUCUCAAGAAGAUGUUUUUCUGAAGAAGCAGUUGGUAUCCUUCUUUGAGGAUCUAGAUUAUUCCGUGGGAAUUUUUCCUCUUGAUGCAAUAUCGAAUAAAUAGCUGAAGUGGUACCUCGAGACGCUACUGCUAGUGGAUAUCGGCUCGAAAGCAGCCAUGAAGGUUAUCUUUGAUAACAUGAAAUGUGAUAAAACAAUGCAACAAAUGAUGAGGACUCCUUGACUUAUCCCUCCCAGAGAAGGUGCUACCAAUAUUCCUACCACUUCAAGGGGUUUGACAACAAAGGCCCUUACUACUUUGUUAAUCAGGUCACGCCUACUCUAGCGCAGGUGGCAUCCAGGAUUUAUAUUACCAGGUUAUGGUGGAAAAUGUUAUGAGUUCAUCACAUCUUAAAAAUGGGGGAAGUUUGGACCUUAGUCCUGAACUAGAAGUGCCUCAAGUAGAAGUUUAUUUUUUAAGCGUCCUCGUCUAUUAGCAUUGAAGAUAAGGAUACUGAGUCAUGCAAGAUGAUUUGCAUCAAUUACGAUCUUGUUGCCUCAUACGCUUUUGGUUUGCCCUGGUCCUCUGACGGCCUGGGAGUUUUGGGCCUCCGUCUUUGAAGAAGAUUACUCCUAUUUCUCAAACUAAGUCGAGAACGUUCUUCAAGAGGAAUUGUCAAAUUCGGCCUAUUAUAUGUGUCAGUCAUCGACCAUCUUCGUUUUUCAUGUUGUUGAGUUAGGGAAAGUCUUGUUGUCUAAUUGUCUUUUGGGGGGAAAGAGGUACUUCAAGAGCGUGUCAAUGUUAUCAUCAUCGAGUGAGACCGAUAUCAAGAGGGGCUUCUACCUUAUUUUUGAAGAUGGAAGUUUUCGUUGGAUCUUUUGGGUACCAUGAUUUGUUGGCUGAGAGAGUGAAGUUUCUUGUGCAAGAAGUGACAAAAAAGAAUAAAGCUUUAGCUUCUUCUCAGGCAUCAUUGUCUACAACAGAGGUUGCUUUUGCUAAAGCAAAUCGAGCAUUGGAUCCUUCCCUCAAAAAGGUAUAAGAUCUUGAAUUAUUUAUGGAGUCUCACAGAGGUCGAAAGUAGGUUGAAGAUGGUCUUUGUGAGCUGCGUCUUGAGAAUCUUGCAUUGGCUAAGAAGUAUGGGAAGUCAGUGGAGAAGAGUUACUCUAUUACACCCGAGCCUUUUAAAAAUUCUUUGCAACAGGUGGAAUAUUUUAUCCCACUGGGCCUAUUUCACGAGAACAAGUUUGUCCUGACCAAAUGAUAGAGGAUGGAAAGUUGGUAUCUCUAGGGGAUCAUUUGGAUGUGUGGCCCUCCUUGCCCAUUCUUCUUUUUUUAUAUGAAUUGGCUUUCAUUUGGUUAAUAUGUAGACCUUGUGGUUCAUACUUGGCAGUAUAUACAUAUUUUUUGUGACUUAUUAUUGUGUUAAAUCUUGAGUUCUUCUCUACGGGAGGGAUCUUGUUUUCUGAGAUUGUACUCGAAGUUUCAUUGAAAGUCUUUGGAGUUGUUCCCAGCGAAGGAUCGAUAACCAUUCCUUACCUCUAGAUGAAAACCUAGUUCAAGGUUGGCAUGGUAGGGACUCACAUUUACCUUUGGAAUGAUUGUCUACCAAAAGGGGGUAAGACCUUUAUUGCCACUUUGUGGUCUAUGGCUUUAAUCGUGCACUUGCAUUAUGUUG